CAAUACCAAGUCCAUACGCUAACGCGUUUGGAUUCGCUCCCGCUCUAGCUUAAAUUUAAGCAGACCCGGAUCGAUGCGAGUAGCGUAAACGUCUCAUACGCGUUACUGGUAAAAUAGCUACGAGACUGUGACUACCUCUGCCGUUGUCUAAGGUAAUCAAGAUUGUAACAACUCGAGUCUAUGUUGUUUUGUUUCUUCUCAAGACAUAGAUUUUAAAUCAAAGAAGUAACUACACACUGUAGAGUCAUGAUGUGGUACCUGAUUCGGACGUGGAUUCAAUUUCCACCAUCUCCACUA
rnacentral:tmRNA from 1 species